UGGCACUGCCCGGUAGCUAAAUGCGGAAGAGAUAAGUGCUGAAAGCAUCUAAGCACGAAACUUGCCCCGAGAUGAGUUCUCCCUGACUCCUUGAGAGUCCUGAAGGAACGUUGAAGACGACGACGUUGAUAGGCCGGGUGUGUAAGCGCAGCGAUGCGUUGAGCUAACCGGUACUAAUGAACCGUGAGGCUUAACCUUACAACGCCGAAGGUGUUUUG
rnacentral:rRNA from 1 species